rnacentral:piRNA from 1 species
UAAGCCUCUGUGACAGGGCAGAC